GGGGCCGUAGGGUAGCCUGGUCCAUCCUUCACGCUUGGGGUGCGUGAGACCUGAGUUCAAAUCUCAGCGGCCCCA
rnacentral:tRNA from 1 species